rnacentral:ncRNA from 1 species
GCCUCUAAAAGAGUAACAAAGGCAUGCGAAGGUAGGCACUUUCUAUAAGCAAGCAUAAUGGUCUAAGCCUGCCUGACUGUGAGACUCACUGGUCGAACAGAGAUGAAAGUCGGCCAUAGCUUUUUUAUCCUGACU